AAGAACAGUCUGGUCACAAUAUUAUGACCACCUAUUUAUAUCUACACAAACUGUGCAUUUUUUUAGCUCCACUGACCAUACAGGAAAUUGUUGUCUAAAAAUUACAAUCUGUAGUUCUGUAUCUGUUUUUGUGUAUACUUUAUUAUUCUCCUCCUUUUACUCUGUUCUUCAAUACUCAGAACCCCACAGAAGAGAAAACCACCACAGAGCAGCUAUUAUUAUUAAUAUUAUUUGGAUCAUGUGUUGUUUAUUUUCAGCACUGCAGUGAUUAGCAGUGAUUAGCAUGGUGGUGGUGUAUGAGGUGUUAGUGUGUGUUGAGCUGGUACGGUGAGUGGAUCAGAUACAGCAGUGAUUAGCAGUGAUUAGCAUGGUGGUGGUGUAUGAGGUGUUAGUGUUGUUGAGCUGGUGGUACAGUGAGUGGAUCAGAUACAGCAGUGAUUAGCAUGGUGGUGGUGUAUGAGGUGUUAGUGAGUGUUGAGCUGGUACAGUGAGUGGAUCAGAUACAGCAGUGAUUAGCAGUGAUUAGCAUGGUGGUGGUGUAUGUGGUGUUAGUGAGUGUUGAGCUGGUGGUACAGUGAGUGGAUCAGAUACAGCAGUGAUUAGCACUGAUUAGCAUGGUGGUGGUGUAUGUGGUGUUAGUGAGUGUUGAGCUGGUGGUACAGUGAGUGGAUCAGAUACAGCAGUGAUUAGCAUGGUGGUGGUGUAUGAGGUGUUAGUGUGUGUUGAGCUGGUGGUACAGUGAGUGGAUCAGAUACAGCAGUGAUUAGCAUGGUGGUGGUGUAUGAGGUGUUAGUGUGUGUUGAGCUGGUACAGUGAGUGGAUCAGAUACAGCAGUGAUUAGCAUGGUGGUGGUGUAUGAGGUGUUAGUGUGUGUUGAGCUGGUACAGUGAGUGGAUCAGAUACAGCAGUGCUGCUGGAGUUUUUAAACACUGUGUUUUAUCUCUCAAUUCAAUUUUUUCAAUUCAAAUUGGCUUUAUUAGCAUGACUGUUUAAAAAAAAAACAAUGUUGCCAAAGCACACAAAUAUCAAAACCGAACCUAUAGUGAAACAACGAUGAAACAUAAACAUCAAUUAAUUAAAGAAAUAAUAAAAUUAUAGUGAUUAUAAUGAUCAAGUAUAAUAAUAUUAACAGUUGUUUAUUAGGGGAGUUACUCACUGUCCUUCAGGCGGUGACAAGUUGCCACAUAUUUAGCCGCAAGAGGUGCUGUUUUUCCUUCACCAAGAAAUAUUUUUGCCAAUUCACAUUCGC